GCUUAACACAUGCAAGUCGAGGGGCAGCAUGGUCUUAGCUUGCUAAGGCCGAUGGCGACCGGCGCACGGGUGAGUAACACGUAUCCAACCUGCCGUCUACUCUUGGACAGCCUUCUGAAAGGAAGAUUAAUACAAGAUGGCAUCAUGAGUCCGCAUGUUCACAUGAUUAAAGGUAUUCCGGUAGACGAUGGGGAUGCGUUCCAUUAGAUAGUAGGCGGGGUAACGGCCCACCUAGUCUUCGAUGGAUAGGGGUUCUGAGAGGAAGGUCCCCCACAUUGGAACUGAGACACGGUCCAAACUCCUACGGGAGGCAGCGGUGAGGAAUAUUGGUCAAUGGGCGAGAGCCUGAACCAGCCAAGUAGCGUGAAGGAUGACUGCCCUAUGGGUUGUAAACUUCUUUUAUAAAGGAAUAAAGUCGGGUAUGUAUACCCGUUUGCAUGUACUUUAUGAAUAAGGAUCGGCUAACUCCGUGCCAGCAGCCGCGGUAAUACGGAGGAUCCGAGCGUUAUCCGGAUUUAUUGGGUUUAAAGGGAGCGUAGAUGGAUGUUUAAGUCAGUUGUGAAAGUUUGCGGCUCAACCGUAAAAUUGCAGUUGAUACUGGAUAUCUUGAGUGCAGUUGAGGCAGGCGGAAUUCGUGGUGUAGCGGUGAAAUGCUUAGAUAUCACGAAGAACUCCGAUUGCGAAGGCAGCCUGCUAAGCUGCAACUGACAUUGAGGCUCGAAAGUGUGGGUAUCAAACAGG
rnacentral:rRNA from 1 species